GACAGAGGUGGCGAGCGUUGUCCGGAAUUACUGGGCGUAAAGCGCGCGUAGGCGGCUAGAUAAGUCCGGUGUGAAAUCCCACGGCUUAACCGGGGAACGGCAUCGGGGACUGUUUAGCUUGAGGACGGGAGAGGAGAGCGGAAUUCCCGGUGUAGCGGUGAAAUGCGUAGAGAUGUGGAGGAACACCGAUGGCGAAGGCAGCCUCCUGGGCCAGCACUGACGCUCAUGCACGAAAGCGUGGGGAGCAAACGGG
rnacentral:rRNA from 1 species